rnacentral:lncRNA from 1 species
CCAUGGACUGUUUCAGAAAAAAAGAAAAUAUUGGAAUGUUGACCCUGUCAUUGGGUAAACACUCCUAACUCAGAAGCUAUUCCACAAUGUCUUGGAACAUCUCAAGGAAGAAAAGAUGCAGCUGGUGAUUUCCAAAACCAGGUAACCAAGGCUCACUCAGUAUAAGAGAUGGGCAGAAAUCCUCAAAAGAGGGUACAAGCAUAUUCGAGUGAAAGCUCAUCUGUCCUUGAUCUUCCUGUCAUUAACCAAUACCCCCUCUGCCCAGACUUCAUGAAAAUGAAAGCUGGGAGAUGGAGACUCAAAGAAAAGCAGGAUUCAAGAUAUCAAGGCCUCCCCCAUUUCAUAAAGCCAACCAAAAAAAUGAUGAUUCUGGAUGCCCCAAGGCACCUACAACUUCCCCUCAUGGAUUUUAUGAAUGACAAGUUGAUAAACUCAAAAUACAAGUCUACAGAAACCUUUCUCAAUGAGGACAUCAAAGCAGAAAAUGUUAAGUACAGACUGCCAAUGAGGGCCAUCUGGGGUCCCAAAAAACCCUUACAGACACUAUAUACUGACCUUAUAACAUCCUCCAAGACUCCAACUUACAAAAAAGAAUCUCUUCCAGAUCCGAAGAAUACGUGGGCAGAAUUCAACAUCAACAAGAUUCCUAAGCACAGUAAAUACUACUGA